UACAGGUGCCACAUAAAAAUACAGCGGCCACCUGUCAGAGGAGGGGACUACCUCAAUAGAAAAGGCUACUAUUCUGUAGUCCUCCAGGGUAUUGCGGAUGGAAAAGGGAGGUUUCGGGACAUCUUUGUAGGAGCACCUGACAGGGUACAUGACUCCAGGAUCCUCAGGAAAUCCACCUUCUUCACGAGAUGGGCAGAAAAAAUGGGGAGCGGGACAAUGGUGCCCUGACCACCCAGGGCCAGCAGAGGAACACACAGAUCGGCAAAGGACAUGUUGUGGUGGAACAAGCUUUUGGCAGGGUCAAAUGCAAGUGAAGGAGAAUGAGAGAUCUGCAAAACACCAGGCUGGAUGUGGUGGUCAUGCUGAUCAUGUCAGCCUGCAUGCUCCACAACCUCUGCACAGGACCUACAGACAUGUGCGAGGACCAUCCCACUGGGUGCCCUCGUCAUGAGGAUGAGAAAAUUUGAAGAGUUAAUUUUCAAAAACAGAUGUCGUUUCCUUUUGCUGCACAUUCAAGGCAAUUGUUCUUAGAAUUAAAUAUUUAUUUGUUGUACCAGGUUGAUAACUUCAGUUACUUUAUUUCACUAUUUUGUUCUUCUUGGUGUGUUUUUGUACUUGAUGUUAUUUACAUUUCUCAAAUUUUAC